GACGAACGCUGGCGGCGUGCCUAAUACAUGCAAGUAGAACGCUGAAGAGGGGAGCUUGCUCUUCUUGGAUGAGUUGCGAACGGGUGAGUAACGCGUAGGUAACCUGCCUUGUAGCGGGGGAUAACUAUUGGAAACGAUAGCUAAUACCGCAUAACAAUGGGUGACUCAUGUCAUUUAUUUGAAAGGGGCAAAUGCUCCACUACAAGAUGGACCUGCGUUGUAUUAGCUAGUUGGUGAGGUAACGGCUCACCAAGGCGACGAUACAUAGCCGACCUGAGAGGGUGAUCGGCCACACUGGGACUGAGACACGGCCCAGACUCCUACGGGAGGCAGCAGUAGGGAAUCUUCGGCAAUGGACGGAAGUCGACCGAGCAACGCCGCGUGAGUGAAGAAGGUUUUCGGAUCGUAAAGCUCUGUUGUAAGAGAAGAACGAGUGUGAGAGUGGAAGGUUCACACUGUGACGGUAUCUUACCAGAAA
rnacentral:rRNA from 1 species